ACGCCGAUGGUGAAACGGUUAUCAUGCUUGCCUUCCACUGUUUCAAAAAAUUUGGCAUCUCUUCAGCAAGCGGUAGGGGUUCGACUUUCCUUCGGCGUA